CGUUGAAAUACCAGUUCCAGUACGAUCUUUGAAGUUGAGCAACAUCCAGCCUGGUUAGUACUUAGAUAAGAGACCGCUUGGGAAUAGUAGGUGCUGUAAG